UGGUUGCCUUGAGCUCUUCCCUUAGGGAUUGUGGAGCUUGAGGAUUGGAUUGGGAGCCUCCAAUUGAGUUGUGGAGCUAGCUCCGGUCAAGUUUGUAAAUGUUCGGUCUUCGCCUUCAAGGAAGCCAUCAGUCGAGCUCACUCACCUUUGUGGUGCCGUGAGAGGAGAAUAGAGUGAGCCUUUGUGGCGUCUCUACCUUUAGAGAAUUUAGUAAACCCUAGGUUAAGUGUUUGUAUCUUUCUAGAAAAGAAAAAGAAAAAGAUUAAAAUUUGUUAGUCGCCUAUUCACCCCCCCCCUCUAGCCGACCA
rnacentral:lncRNA from 1 species